GGAGAUAUAGCUCAGUGGUACAGUGUUUGUCCAGUAUGUUUACCAAAAGCCCUGGGUUUGAGCCCUAGUAACACACA
rnacentral:tRNA from 1 species